GUUGAAAGUGUGUCACAUCGGAAUUGAGAAACCCCUGACGGCAGUGUGCAAUUUCGGGCCAGGCCCAAUGUAGGCGGAGUCAAACGCGUUUAACCCGAACGCUUCCCGUCUCCUUCAACGUCACCCAAAUUGAGGCACAACGUCUACGAAAGCGAACCUUAAUUGAGCCUAGCCAACAUGGAUAAAAAUAUAGACCAUGGAAUACGCUCUGUACAUUGCAAUGGAAGCACAGUGUGAUUUCACUGAGGAGGAUGUAAAAGACGCCCUCCCAAGAAGUCACAGCAUGUCACAUCAGCAUCCAGCUCUGCAGGAUCAGACGAUACUGAAAACAAAACACGACGAACUGUGAACUGGGAAGCAGAUGUUCUUCUAAGGGACACCCUAGAGGCAGCGAACAUUUAAAGGCACUGUUUACCCUCCCUAGUGUAAUUGGGAUGGACGGGGAAGACCGCAUUACAAUCCUUAAAGAACUACGGUUGUAUGAUGGCCUGGAUGAAGAGGAAAAUAUUCUCCUCAAGGAACCAUUCAUGUUCCAGAGAGAUGAUGAGAUGUUCUAUGUGGAGGCAGUUGACAACAAGAACAUUACUGUCUUUGCCUCUUUUGAGGAGCAGGGGCCUGUUGCACAAAACUAGGAUAAGGGAUUAAGCCAGGAUAUCUUGGUGAUCCUGGCUCAAUUGAUCCGUAAUCCGGUUGCACUAAAGAUGGAUAGGGGGCAGGAGGAU